AAAGAUACUUUUAGUGCCAAUUGUUUAACGACAAUACACUUAUUGCCACUAAUCUUGUUCUCCGAGUUCAAGUAUUAACGAAAAUUAGAUUUUGGUCGGCAAUAUAAUUUACUAGUGGCGUAAAGAGGUAAUGGCCAUUAAAAACUAAAAAAUUUAAAUAAGUCUUCCUCUCAAAUUCCCUAAAAUUUCAAAUGCUUUCAUUCUAUGUUCUAAGAAUUGCCUCAUUCUUUCCAUCAUCGCCGGCCCUUCGUGUUUCGAUGUCAUCUCUUAGAAGUCCUCAAUGACAUGGUACUUUCCAGUUUUAUUGCUAUGAUAAUUGUCUUCGGGUAGUAUUCGUCCUUAUUCUCUUCUUUGUAAUUUCUAUGCAUCUCAAAAGACACUUUUAGGCAAAACCCUAAAUCUGUUAGCUGUAUUUUUCCAUCCAUAACCAAGUUUGAUGACAUGCUGGCUUUUAUUUUGAGGCAAAUCAUUAAAAUCAAAAGUAUUGGUUGUUCAAUUGCAGGAUUUUCCAGUUUUCUUCCAAUUCUUGAGGUUAAAAUCAAUUUUCACUUUUGUUUAAUUUUUUCUGUUUACUUAAGCAUUAGUGAUUUUAUUUCUUCAUUUUCUUUCGAGUUAUUUAUAUUACAUUUGACAUUGUUUGAUAUGAUGUUGGGGAGAAAAAAAAGCCCAAUCUCUACUCCACCACCAACGAAUAUGCUGCACAGAUUGGUAAAACUUGCUUAGAAUUAAUGGUAGUGUCUUGUAUUUUCUGUGUGCCAGCCUUUAUUUGAGAAGCUUUAGAAACAAUCCAAAAUAAGCUUUACUUUAAGCAUAGUUUGUCCUAUGAGAUGAUUCAAACUGUUGAGUUAUGAUGAAUCCUGUGCGUGUCAAUAUAUAUUUUCCUUACUAGCAAACAUGGUCUGUUUGAAUUGAAAACCUUCCUCAGCUAGGCGGGUCAGUAAGGUGGUUAUGAUUGAUGGAAGGAUUUCCCAUAUAAAAGAUAUGUUGGUAUAUAUGCUUUGAACCAGAAUUUUAUCAGGAUCAAAAACUAACUAUGUAUCCACUGGUGAGUUAUCCUUUUCUUUUAAAAUUACUACCAAUAAUUGUAAAGGAAUCACACCGUUUUUAUCAUUUAAAUGAAAAUGAAUGAGACCAAAAUUUGUUAGCUCAUAUGUUAGUUAUCCUCUUCAUGAAAAAUCUCCAGUGACAAGAAUACUAUUAACUUAUAUUAAGGUUUCAAUGAUGUAAAGAACAAGAUACACAACAAGAUUUGCUUCUAUUAUCAGCACUCUGCAAAUUCACACCUUGGUUCUCUUUCUGCUAGCAUCAAAGUCAUAAUUCUCCAAGCGAGAUGCUGAGCAACACAUGAGUUUUUUUCUUAUGCAAUAUGAGAAGAAAAGUUGGGCAUUUAUCUUGGACCUUUGCUCAUAUAUGAGGUAUAUUUCUACUUUUAUACUUUACAUAUGUAAGAACUUCUCUUUGAUAUUUCUAUUAUGGUACAUUUUUUUUUAUUUUUUACAUGACCAUUAAUGCGAUUGAUUCUUCCAUUUGAUCGUGACUAUUGAUAUUCUUAUAGAACUUUUAAUGUGUUUGAUUGAAAGUUACGACAUCUGGAGAAGUGAUAUGUAGAUAUGUCUCAUGUGAAAUUUGAUUCUAAAAGAAACAAGACAACUUUAAGUUUGUCGGUGAUCUGGAAGAACAAAUACAUUUAUAAGGAAGAAGCUUAAUAAUAUCGUAAGACUUUGUACUUUAAUGUGAUAAACUUAAAUAUGGUAUGAAUUUCCAUUUAUGAAGUUUUUUAAGGAACAAAAAAGCUUCGGAGUUUCUCUAAUAAAUUCUUUUGGCAAAUUUGCUUAUUCAUCGCAGAUGGACAUUUCUAAGAAUUCUCCAUCUAAAAAUUGCUCUUUUGAAGGAAGAUGCAUGGUGAAGCUGUAUCUUUUGGUUCUCCCUUCUUUUUCUUCUCUAGCAGGAAGAUAGUGGAACAUAUAGAAGAUUAUCUUAGACACUCAGAGACUAAUUAUUAUUAGUUGGUGUUUAAAUUUUGGUGUUGCUUGUUGUUCCCUAUCAUAUUUUUCACCUUCAAUGGAAUGAAAUAAAUUGCAAUCUCUAUAAGAGUUAGAACUUUGUGUAUCUAACAAGUAUCUACGCCACAUUCCAAUCAUCUUGGUUAACUUCGAAUUAGAAAAAUUGAUGAAUUAAAAGAAGAUGCUUAAGUGCAAGAAGUACAAAAUAGUCCAGAAAGAGAUUAGAGCUAUUGAAUUGUUGGAAGGAACAUAGUUGAUGCUGACAUGUGAGUGUACCCAUUUACUUGUAGUUUCAAAAUAGCUCUUUAAUUUUUUUUACAGUAUGUCUUAAAAGUAGUGAUUUUUCUAUUUGUGUUUAAUGGAAUAUUAAUUCUCUUUUGCAGGUUAUUUCAACUUCACUCUUUUCAUACAAAAAAAUUGACUGCAGAUAGAGACUAUGCAUUUAAACAUACAAAAAACCACUGAGUUUGGAUUUGUGUACAAGAACAGAAAUUUGCUGGCAGGUAAAAUUGUUUAUCUUCUUAUAAUAUGCAAAUUAAUGCCCAUGUAAAGUAUUUAUAUUAAUUAUCUAGAAUGAUUAGUGUAUUGAUGAUACAACAACAACUAGAUCAAUCUGUUCUCUCAAAAUUUAUUUAACUGCUACUUAGGGUGGUAUUUUAGCUUUUAAAUGGUUGGUGUAGCGGACAAUUUGUAGUUCUUCGCUCAGUAUAUAUUGUUUGUGAUUGUUGGUAAAGGAAUGUCGUAACCUAGUCAUUAUAUUAAUAUUUAUUUUUUUAAUUAUUUCAGGUCAUACACUAUAAUGUUUAUGAUGGAAUAUAUACCAUAGCCGAAGCAAUAACAUAAUCGUAUUCACGUGUAAUCUAAAUAACUAGCACAUAUGGAGAUUUUCGGAUUACCUCUUGAAGCGUAAACUCAACAAAUUUAUGUUGUUCACAAGUUCCUCAGUUGAAUACGCACCAGCAGAUUUUCAGUCUUCUACUGUGUUACCCAAACAAUAACCGAAAAUAGAGAAUUUUGGUUGGGCAAAAUUCUAGCAGAAACCGUAGUCAAAAUAGCAAAAAAAAUGUCCAGCUGCGUUUUUAAGUCAAAACCGUUUUCAAAACCUAUUAGGUUUCUUUCUCCCAAUAAGGGAUGGUUUUUAUGUUUUCUUUUUCACUAAGUAACAAUUUUCACUAUUUUCUAUUAUUUAGGCACAGUAGGGACCACAUAAUUUAAUUAAC
rnacentral:lncRNA from 1 species